rnacentral:rRNA from 1 species
GUCCUUUUGAGUUUAAUUUAAGGUCUAACCUGCCCACUGAAUUUUUAAAUGGCCGCAGUAAUUUGACUGUGCAAAGGUAGCAUAAUAAUUAGUUUUUUAAUUUAAAGCUUGUAUGAAGGGUUGGACGAAAUAAAAUCUGUCUCUAUUUAAUUAAAUUUAGAAUUUAACUUUUAAGUUAAAAGGCUUAAAUAUUAUUAAAAGACGAGAAGACCCUAUAGAUCUUUAUAUUUUUUUUAAUAAUUUUAAUUAGGAAUUAUUAAUUUUUUAUUAAAAAAAUUAUUUUAUUGGGGUAAUAUAAAGAUUAGAAUAAUUCUUUUUUAUUUAGACAUAAAUUUAUGGUUUUUAUGAUCCAAUUUUAUUGAUUAUAAGAUUAAGUUACCUUAGGGAUAACAGCGUAAUUUUUUUUGAGAGUUCUUAUCGAUAAGAAAGUUUGCGACCUCGAUGUUGGAUUAAAGAUUAUUUUAGGUGUAGAAGCUUAAAAAUUUUGGUCUGUUCGACCAUUAAAUCUUUACAUGAUCUGAGUUCAGACCGGCGUAAGCCAGGUCGGUUUCUAUCUUUAAUAAAUUAAAAUAUUUUAGUACGAAAGGACCAAUUAUUUAAUAUAUUUAUAUUUAAUUUUUGAAUAUUAUUAA